UACGAAGGGGGCUAGCGUUGCUCGGAAUUACUGGGCGUAAAGCGCACGUAGGCGGUCUUUUAAGUCAGAGGUGAAAUCCUGGAGCUCAACUCCAGAACUGCCUUUGAUACUGGGAAUCUUGAGUAUGGAAGAGGUGAGUGGAACUGCGAGUGUAGAGGUGAAAUUCGUAGAUAUUCGCAAGAACACCAGUGGCGAAGGCGGCUCACUGGUCCAUAACUGACGCUGAGACGCGAAAGCGUGGGGAGCAAACAGG
rnacentral:rRNA from 1 species